rnacentral:rRNA from 1 species
UCCGUAGGUGAACCUGCGCAGGGAUCAUUACUGAGUUUACGCUCUACAACCCUUUGUGAACAUACCUAUAACUGUUGCUUCGGCGGGUAGGGUCUCCGCGACCCUCCCGGCCUCCCGCCUCCGGGCGGGUCGGCGCCCGCCGGAGGAUAACCAAACUCUGAUUUAACGACGUUUCUUCUGAGUGGUACAAGCAAAUAAUCAAAACUUUUAACAACGGAUCUCUUGGUUCUGGCAUCGAUGAAGAACGCAGCGAAAUGCGAUAAGUAAUGUGAAUUGCAGAAUUCAGUGAAUCAUCGAAUCUUUGAACGCACAUUGCGCCCGCCAGCAUUCUGGCGGGCAUGCCUGUUCGAGCGUCAUUUCAACCCUCAAGCUCUGCUUGGUGUUGGGGCCCUACAGCCGAUGUAGGCCCUCAAAGGUAGUGGCGGACCCUCCCGGAGCCUCCUUUGCGUAGUAACUUUACGUCUCGCACUGGGAUCCGGAGGGACUCUUGCCGUAAAACCCCCCAAUUUUCCAAAGGUUGACCUCGGAUCAGGUAGGAAUACCCGCUGAACUUAAGCAUAUCAAUAAGCGGAGGA